CAUUGGUGGAAGACAAAAUGUAUUUAUUUUAAUAUUCAUUGUUUUAUCACUGUGUCCUACAUAUAUAUUUUUAAUUUUUUCCGUAAGUGUUGAGCAGCUGCAGGAAUCAAUUUUUAUUCCGAGUUAAUCUCUGAUUCACCCUCCGAAGCGGAAGGCGGCGCUAAUGAGCAUUAAUACGAAACACAGAAGAAGUAAAGGUAUAUGGGCGGGAACAGCACCAAAGAGGCAACACGGACGACUGGAGAAAGUUGGACCUAAAGGCAGCAACUAGCAUCACUGGACUUACAGGUUAGGGUUGUGAAGGAGCUCUUGGACCUCUGGCCUGCUCUAAAAAUGGAGUCUGAGUUGUAUGCAGAGUUUCAGCGGAUUACAAAUCAGAACCUGCCCAAUACAUUCUACGCUGAACUUGACCGCCAUCUUCCUCGACUGAUGACCUUAUUCAGCCAGGGCAUCAAAAACUGGGAAGACAGCAGAUGCCCUGGUUGAAAUUCUAAGAAUUCACAAUGAACAGGAAAUCCAUGAUAUCCACACCAAGUGCACUACCGUUCUCCCUGCCCUUCCUGUCUAUCUGCAUGAGGAUGUCUCUGGAUUUUUCAGAACCUGCACUGACGAAUCUGAUGAGUUGGAGCUUGAUGGUGUUGAAGUGGCCUCUUCACUGUCAUCAGUGACCAUCACACAAUAAGUCCAGUUCACUACCAACCUGUGAAAAUCUCUGUCGUCAUUGAAAGUGAUGCCGUGUUCAGUCUCCCCAGAUUUGGUGAAGCCUUCCUAGUAAUGUUUGGACUGAUCUAUGCACUUCACCACAGCUACCCCAAAGCCCUGACC
ensembl:lncRNA